GACGAACGCUGGCGGCGUGCUUAACACAUGCAAGUCGAGCGGUAAGGCCCUUCGGGGUACACGAGCGGCGAACGGGUGAGUAACACGUGGGUGACCUGCCCUCAGCUCUGGGAUAAGCCUGGGAAACUGGGUCUAAUACCGGAUAUGACCUUUCACUGCAUGGUGGGGGGUGGAAAGUUUUUCGGCUGGGGAUGGGCCCGCGGCCUAUCAGCUUGUUGGUGGGGUGAUGGCCUACCAAGGCGACGACGGGUAGCCGGCCUGAGAGGGCGACCGGCCACACUGGGACUGAGACACGGCCCAGACUCCUACGGGAGGCAGCAGUGGGGAAUAUUGCGCAAUGGGCGGAAGCCUGACGCAGCGACGCCGCGUGGGGGAUGACGGCCUUCGGGUUGUAAACCUCUUUCGCCAGGGACGAAGCUUUCGGGUGACGGUACCUGGAUAAGAAGCACCGGCCAACUACGUGCCAGCCGCCGCCGUAAAAC
rnacentral:rRNA from 1 species